UACGUAGGGUGCAAGCGUUGUCCGGAAUUAUUGGGCGUAAAGAGCGUGUAGGCGGCUCGAUAAGUCUGCUGUGAAAGUCCAGGGCUCAACCCUGGAAGGCCGGUGGAAACUGUCGGGCUAGAGUCCGGGAAGAGGCGAGUGGAAUUCCUGGUGUAGCGGUGAAAUGCGCAGAUAUCAGGAGGAACACCAAUGGCGAAGGCAGCUCGCUGGGGACGGUACUGACGCUGAGACGCGAAAAGCGUGGGGGAGCAAAACAGG
rnacentral:rRNA from 1 species